rnacentral:Y_RNA from 13 species
GGCUGGUCCAAAGGUAAUGAGUUAUCUCGAUUGUUCUGUCAGUCACAGAUCCAACUCCUCGUUCUACUCUUUCCCCCUUCUCACUACUGCACUUGACUAGUGUUUA